rnacentral:rRNA from 1 species
CCUACGGGAGGCAGCAGUGGGGGAUAUUGCACAAUGGGGGAAACCCUGAUGCAGCGACGCCGCGUGUGGGAAGACGGUCCUCUGGAUUGUAAACCACUGUCCCCAGGGACGAAGAUGACGGUACCUGGGGAGGAAGCUCCGGCUAACUACGUGCCAGCAGCCGCGGUAAUACGUAGGGAGCGAGCGUUGUCCGGAAUUACUGGGUGUAAAGGGAGCGUAGGCGGGACUGCAAGUUGGGUGUCAAAUCUACCGGCUCAACCGGUAGCCGCACUCAAAACUGCAGUUCUUGAGUGAAGUAGAGGCAGGCGGAAUUCCGAGUGUAGCGGUGAAAUGCGUAGAUAUUAGGAGGAACACCAGUGGCGAAGGCGGCCUGCUGGGCUUUUACUGACGCUGAGGCUCGAAAGUGUGGGGAGCGAACAGGAUUAGAUACCCUGGUAGUC